UUCACCAUUGCUAAUUGUCAAAUAGUAUAGGGAAAACGCAUGAUCACGAUUUCGGUUUAUUGAGAAAUGAAGCUUGAUGAUUAACUUUCACUAUUUAUUAUGGAAGACCAGUACUGGCAGAUUUCUCCAGCAGAUAAGGCUGAGCUGGCCCUGUGUGAUGGGUGAACACACGUAGAAGCCAUCUCACUCUGCAUUGCACUGGCUCAACCAGGUUCUAGCAGCUGAAGCUCGCAGGGAUUAGGCCUUCAUAACAAGAAAAUACUGUCAAUUCUCCUUUUUACUCUGUAAAAACAAAAAACGUUCAGCAGGUCUGUUGCAUUUCCAAAAUUAGUUUUUUUUAAUUAUGGUUAAACUAAAUGUAUCAAAGACAAUUGCACAAAAAAGAA